rnacentral:rRNA from 1 species
UACGUAGGGACCAAGCGUUGUUCGGAUUUACUGGGCGUAAAGCGUGCGCAGGCGGCGCGUUAAGACAGGUGUGAAAGCCCCGAGCUUAACUUGGGAAUUGCGCUUGUGACUGGCGUGCUGGAGUGUGGCAGAGGGAGGUGGAAUUCCACGUGUAGCAGUGAAAUGCGUAGAGAUGUGGAGGAACACCAGUGGCGAAGGCGACUCUUUGGCCUGUAACUGACACUGAGGCGCGAAAGCGUGGGGAGCAAACAGG